rnacentral:lncRNA from 1 species
CAGAGACAGCACCAGCAAAGUUCGAAUACUUAUUCUCCAGAGCCCCCACUGCAUACACAGCAUCAAUGCACAGUUGCAGCCUGGUACUGUCUCUAAGAGGUUCAUUUGUUUCAGGUUACUCAUGCUAUUCUCCACCUAGUUGUCCUGUUUGGCCCACUCCGAAUGACUCAAAGUCCCACUGGCCCCCAACCGUCCCGACUGCCAACACCCCAGUACCGGUCCACGCACUUACGUGUCCGCACACACAUACACACAAGCGCGCACACGUGUCCACACACACCCUCCAGCCCGGCUCCGCCCAAGAGGCGGACCGGGGCCAGGCGAGCCCGACUCGGCCACUGCGAGGUGGGUGGUGCCGGUCGCCGCGGCCCCACCGGCGCUGUCACCGCGGACGCGGUGCCCCACGUCCUCAGCGCCAACUCCUUGCGGCCGCCGAGGUUCCCCGAAAUGCCGAGGCCUCGCCGGCUCCCAUUUCGCGAGGAAACAUCCUCGCCCCUCACGGCAAGGAGAGAUAACCGAAAGCCUUGGGAGCAGGGUGAAAAAAAGCUAGAGCGUGAUAAAUGAGGGUGAGUGCAGUAUUCUGUUUUACUUGUCUUCGGAGGACCACGGGAAGCGCAGAGCCGAAACGUGUGGGAUCUGGAGCUGCGCAGUGAGAGAGGCGGGAAGGAGGUCCGCUGCAGCGGAGAGUGCUGCCAGCGCCCUUCUGGAGAGUUGAAAACCGGAGAGGAGAGCUGUGCUGCUGAAGAAAAGAGAGCUUGAACGAGCAUGAAAAGCAGAGUCCCUGAGCAUAAAUCGUCAUUUGAAAGAUACCCUGUGUCCUAAAACUCAGUAACGGAAGUUUGCCCUUCUUCACUUUCUCAGGCACUGUAUCUCUCAGAGCUUCCUCCUCCUCCCCAAGGUCACAAGUGCUUUCAGACUCUCCCUGGCCCUUAUCUGAUCCACAGAUAAUCUUUUGAAGAAAACAUUCUCAGAGGUGACUUCAGGUGUCAGCCCUUCUUAAAUGUGAAAUGCAGAACACUGAGAAUGAAAUGCAGAACACUGAGAAAUUACUGCUUUAACCCAAAGGGAUGACUUUCCUAGUGGAAGAAUUUUUAAACCCUGGCAUUUGAACCAGGAAAAAUCAAGGACAAAGGACGCUUAAAUCACCUCAGGUCUGCAAUCACCUGGUCUGAGGACCUAAUAGAUUGACCAAGCAGAAAAAAGUUUUGAGGAGUAGUGUAUCCUGAUGAUGAGACAGUGUUGGCUUCAAGUGAAUCCUCAGUGAAAUAAGGCAAACUGUCAAAUACCCCUGAGACAAUAAAGAUUUUUUUAAAAAGUAGCAUCUCAAUUAUCAGGUAGCUAAAAUCAUCUCAGAAAAUAAUGCAGCUUUGGGGGAGGGGUAGCUCACAUGUGUGAGCCACUGGGUUGGAUUCUCAGCACCACAUAAACAUAAAUAAAUAAGGCUAUUGGUUCCAUCUACAACU